UGCGGAGGGAUCAUUACCGAGUUAUACAACUCAUCAACCCUGUGAACAUACCUAAAACGUUGCUUCGGCGGGAACAGACGGCCCCGUAACACGGGCCGCCCCCGCCAGAGGACCCCCUAACUCUGUUUCUAUUAUGUUUCUUCUGAGUAAAACAAGCAAAUAAAUUAAAACUUUCAACAACGGAUCUCUUGGCUCUGGCAUCGAUGAAGAACGCAGCGAAAUGCGAUAAGUAAUGUGAAUUGCAGAAUUCAGUGAAUCAUCGAAUCUUUGAACGCACAUUGCGCCCGCCAGUAUUCUGGCGGGCAUGCCUGUUCGAGCGUCAUUACAACCCUCAGGCCCCCGGGCCUGGCGUUGGGGAUCGGCGAGGCGCCCCCUGCGGGCACACGCCGUCCCCCAAAUACAGUGGCGGUCCCGCCGCAGCUUCCAUUGCGUAGUAGCUAACACCUCGCAACUGGAGAGCGGCGCGGCCACGCCGUAAAACACCCAACUUCUGAAUGUUGACCUCGAAUCAGGUAGGAAUACCCGCUGAACUUAAGCAU
rnacentral:misc_RNA from 1 species